CUAUCAGCUUUAGACGGUAGGGUAUUGGCCUACCGUGGCUAUGACGGGUAACGGGGAAUUAGGGUUCGAUUCCGGAGAGGGAGCCUGAGAAACGGCUACCACAUCUAAGGAAGGCAGCAGGCGCGCAAAUUACCCAAUCCUAAUACAGGGAGGUAGUGACAAGAAAUAACAAUACAGAACCUUACGGUUUUGUAAUUGGAAUGAGUUAAGUAUAAACCCCUUAACAAGUAUCAAUUGGAGGGCAAGUCUGGUGCCAGCAGCCGCGGUAAUUCCAGCUCCAAUAGCGUAUAUUAAAGUUGUUGCAGUUAAAAAGCUCGUAGUUAAUCUUCUGUUAAUUUUUAUAUAUAAUAUCACGAUAUUUAUAUAAUAUUAACAUAAUUCAUAUUACUUUUUAGUAUAUGAAACUUUACUUUGAGAAAAUUAGAGUGCUUAAAGCAGGCUAUUGCCUUGAAUACUCCAGCAUGGAAUAAUAUUAAGGAUUUUUAUUCUUCUUAUUGGUUCUAGAAUAAAAAUGAUGAUUAAUAGGGACAGUUGGGGGCAUUUGUAUUUAACAGUCAGAGGUGAAAUUCUU
rnacentral:rRNA from 1 species